rnacentral:rRNA from 1 species
UACGUAGGGUGCGAGCGUUGUCCGGAAUUAUUGGGCGUAAAGAGCUCGUAGGUGGCGGGUCACGUCGGGUGUGAAAGCCCGGGGCUUAACUCCGGGUCUGCAUUCGAUACGGGUCUGCUGGGGUCCGGCAGGGGAGACUGGAAUUCCUGGUGUAGCGGUGAAAUGACGCAGAUAUCAGGAGGAACACCGGUGGCGAAGGCGGGUCUCUGGGCCGGUACCGACGCUGAGGCACGAAGGCCAGGGGAGCAAACGGG